GGCAGCCGCAGGUGGAUCUUCAUACAAGGCCAGAUUUCUACCACAGUUCAGUCUCAGAGUUUAACACUUCUCUAACAGCCACAUAGAACAGACAUUCUUCAGCUAGGAGUUUGAAGGCUCCCCAGUCGAGCCUCACAAUUGCCCACCCAAUCCUUUCUACCUCUGGGAUGCCCAUGCACCAGCAGGAAUUCAGCAGAGCCAGGCUCCAGGGGUAAGAACUCUCACCCUGCC
rnacentral:lncRNA from 10 species